CCACAUGAAGUAGGAGUUGCUAGUAAUCCCGAAUCAGCAUGUCGGGGUGAAUGCGUUCCCGGGUCUUGUACACACCGCCCGUCACACCAUGGGAGUUGGAAAUGCCCGAAGUCAGUGGCCCAACCGGAAGGGGGGAGCUGCCGAAGGCAGGUUCGAUGACUGGGGUGAAGUCGUAACAAGGUAAC
rnacentral:rRNA from 1 species